rnacentral:rRNA from 1 species
GACGAACGCUGGCGGCGUGCUUAACACAUGCAAGUCGAACGGAAAGGCCCUGCUUUUGUGGGGUGCUCGAGUGGCGAACGGGUGAGUAACACGUGAGUAACCUGCCCUUGACUUUGGGAUAACUUCAGGAAACUGGGGCUAAUACCGGAUAGGAGCUCCUGCUGCAUGGUGGGGGUUGGAAAGUUUCGGCGGUUGGGGAUGGACUCGCGGCUUAUCAGCUUGUUGGUGGGGUAGUGGCUUACCAAGGCUUUGACGGGUAGCCGGCCUGAGAGGGUGACCGGCCACAGUGGGACUGAGAUACGGCCCAGACUCCUACGGGAGGCAGCAGUGGGGAAUAGUGCACAAUGGGCGGAAGCCUUAUGCAGCAACGCCGCGUGCGGGAUGACGGCCUUCGGGGUGUAAACCGCUUUCGCCUGUGACGAAGCGUGAGUGACGGUAAUGGGUAAAGAAGCACCGGCUAACUACGUG